rnacentral:rRNA from 1 species
GACGAACGCUGGCGGCGUGCUUAACACAUGCAAGUCGAACGGAAAGGCCCUGCUUUUGUGGGGUGCUCGAGUGGCGAACGGGUGAGUAACACGUGAGUAACCUGCCCUUGACUUUGGGAUAACUUCAGGAAACUGGGGCUAAUACCGGAUAGGAGCUCCUGCUGCAUGGUGGGGGUUGGAAAGUUUCGGCGGUUGGGGAUGGACUCGCGGCUUAUCCGCUUGUUGGUGGGGUAGUGGCUUACCAAGGCUUUGACGGGUAGCCGGCCUGAGAGGGUGACCGGCCACAUUGGGAAUGAGAUACGGACCAGAAUCCUACGGGAGGCAGCAGGGGGGAAUAUUGCACAAUGGGCGGAAGCCUGAGGCAGCAACGCCGGGUGCGGGAUGACGGCCUUCGGGUUGUAAACCGCUUUCGCCUGUGACGAAGCGUGAGUGACGGUAAUGGGUAAAGAAGCACCGGCUAACUACGUG